rnacentral:lncRNA from 1 species
CGCUGGCGCCGGCGCAGCGACCCCUAGUGGGCGCUGAUCCUCGGAGGACCGCCCCAGGCCGAGCUGAGCCAGGCCGCUUGCCCGGCGUGGUUCUGUGUGGUUCAAGAGAGAUUGGUUACAAGGCAGUGGUCCUUUCUCUGAAGUCGCCAAUACAUUUUAACAACAACGGUAUCAUCAGAAAAAUGUCUCAGUUUGGCAAAAUCCUUCUUACUGAUGGUCCCCGUGAGUCCAGAAAAAUGGCUACUGCUGUUUCCUAAAGUACUGUAGUUUUUAAUGUAAAGGUCUUUCACUGCCUGUCAUUAGAUUGCUUCAUAAGUAUUUCAUUUUUCUUGAUGCUACUGUGAAAGGUGUGGCUUCCCUAAUUUCUCCCUCAGUGAGUUUGUUAUCCGUGUACAGGAAUGCUAUUGAUUUUUGAGUGUUGGCUUUAUAUCCUGCUAUGCUGUUGAAUUUGGUUAUUAAUUCGAGGAGUCUUUUGGUGGAAUUUUUGGAGUUUUCUAUGUAGAGUAUCAUGUCAUCAGCAAAUAAUGAUAAUUUAACUUCUUCCUUUACUAUCUUUAUUCCUUUUAUUUCUUUCUCUUGUCUAAUUGCUCUGGCUAUUUUUCCAGAACUGUAUUGAACAGGACUGGUGAGAGUGGAUAUCCUUGUCUUGUUCCUGAUUUUAGAGUGAAAGCUUUCAGUUUUUGACCAUUUAGUAUGAUGUUGGCUAUUGGUUUAUCAUAGAUGGUUUUAUCAGAUUGAGAGAAAGACCUAUUCUUUUUUUUUUUUUUUGGUACUGGGGAUCGAACUCGGGUCCUUGCGCUUGCAAGGCAGGCAGCAGAACCACUGAGCUAAAUCCCCAGCCCAAGACCUUGUAUUCUAAUUGUCUGUAGGGUUUUUAUCAUGAAUGGGUGUUAGAUUUUGUCAAAUGCUUUUUCUGUGUCUAUAGAGAUGAUCCUGUGGUUUUUGUCCUUGGCUCUGUUAAUAUGGUGUAUUACAUUUAUUGAUUUGCAUAUGUUGAACUGUCACUGCACCCCUGGGAUGAAUCCUACUUGAUCAUGGUGUAUAAUCUUCUUGCUGAUUUGCUGCAUUCUUCUUGCCAGUAUCUCACUGAGGAUUUUUGUGUCUAUGUUCAUUAGGGAGAUUGGCCUUUACUCCUUUUUUUGAGAAUGUUGCUUCCUUUUCAAUUUCAUUAAGAGUCUGAGGAGUAGUGGCAUUAGAUCUUCUCUAAAUGUCUUGUGGAUUUCAGCAGUGAAUCCAUCAAGACCAGGGCUUCUUUUGUUGGUAGUUUUAAAAAUUAUAUUUUCAAUUUCAUUGACUGAUAUUGAGUUACUUGGAAUUUUUAUAUCUUCUUGGUUCAGCUUUGGGAA